rnacentral:lncRNA from 1 species
CAAUGGAGCUCUAGUUCCAGGAGAUUGAGGAAGAGAAGGGGCAGUCUAAGGGAGAGGAAGAGGUGCCGUAUUGAACACAGGUGUCACAGUCAGAGGAAAGGGGGUUGCGGGCACUGACUCUGCAGAUGGGAAAGAUAUGGCUGGUGACUGGAUAUUUGGCUUAGAGACCAGCCCCAACCACUUUCCUUCUACCUUUAACUAAGAGCAAGGCUCAAAGCAUGGGAGAAAAUCUUGAGAGGGAUGAUUGUAACAUGAAAUGAGGAGCACACUGAAGCAUUUCGGGGUGAAGGGCCAUCAUAUCUGCAGCUUCUUCUCAAACAGUUGAGGGAAAAAGUAAUGUAUAUACAUAUUGAGAGAGAGAGAAAAGAAGCAUCGCGGUGAAAUGGAAUCUGCGACUUUUUCUUCAGCACCAACAUGUCGUUGUUAAAUCUUGGAUCAAGUUCUAUGUGAACACAGAAUUUGGCCUUGCCAGGUAGCCCUGACUAGGAGUGAUAUUUAGUUUUACUUAAUUUACGGAAAACAGCUGUUUAAAAACCUAGGCAUUUUCAAACAUGAUUUUCAAAAAUCUUUGCACAAUUGUUAAGAUAUCUACAGGAGCUUGGCGUUCUGGUGUCACUGCACUAAAUGUUCCAUCCCGUAUUACACUGCACAUCAUCUUUUACACGAUUGGUAAGGACUGGUAAAGGAGCACCAAGCAGUGGGAGGUUAUCUUCAGAGUUUGAAAUCAAAUCUGGGAAGUCAGUUUCCACUGUAUCACAAUUUCCAUCACUGGGUUCAGGCCAUCAGUUACAGUUCCAGAAGCUAAUUUUAGCAUAGAAAAGAGAACUGAAUAACUACACCAGAUAACUUUCUCCAUAAUGUCUUAUAGCUACUGUGGAUGUCUUUGCAGGGAAAUAUCCAAAGUGUUUGUCAACCCGAAAGGCCACUUACGUGAUAACGGCCUUUGCAGCUUAGCAUAAGCAAAGAUUUUUUUUUUCCUCAGAAGAUGUGAAUGAGUUUAUUUCAACAGUUCAACACCUCUCCUUAGUGUUCUGCCAUGACUAGGCCUCCCAACCUACGUGCAGUGAGCAGACUCCUGUCUUACGUGUCCAAUUCAUCAAACAGCACCCGGAACACUCUAUGGCCCAAGUCCCAGGAGGAGAUCCAGCUUGCAGGUGGUGAGCUCUGUGUCCAUGACAUGUUCCAUUUUUAACUUCUAGCAGAAAGCAAUUCCUGCUGAAGGAAACAAAUGAGUGGAUGUAAAGUCUGUGUCCUUACAUAACCUGCCACAUGGAACUUCAGUUUUAUUGCAAGUCCAAUAUUAACACCAUCUAUCCCAG